ensembl:lncRNA
GGGCAUUUCUGUGGCUCUGAAAGCAAACUUGUUUGUUUCAUUUCAACCAUAGAAAAAAAACCACUUCUGUUUUGGAAAUGUAACCCAGCAUAAAAAUACAUUUGCAAUGGGGAAAAAGAAGGCAGUUUAGGGCCACCCAGAAGAAAAUAUUUUUUCCCCUGAUUUUUUUUUUUUUAAUUUGGUAUUUCCCAGUGUGGGUUUGCCUCAUUUUACAAAUAGCUGCCUAUGUCAAGUUGUGGGUAUGUGAUUUAAAUAUUUUAAUUUGAAUCACAUUUUACAUAGUCUAGGAAACUGACAAAGGAAUCCUAUAGAGAAUUGUUUUCUAAAGUGAAUAACUGCUUCUCUAUCUACCCGCCCCCCUCAUUCUUCUUUUCUGUGCGUGUUUUUUGGGGAAUGUUAGGGGAUAAAUCUGGUUUGGCUUAACUAAAACGCAGCCUUUCAAAUCCAAAACAGAGAGCUUAGGUACCCAACAUUCUAUAGAAUGUGUUAUUUCCUCAAGAGAUUGCUAGGAACAGUUAUGUAGAUCUACCAGGUGCAGGGAAGCACUCUACAUCCUCACCCAGGUCCUGUAUCCCUGCAAGACUGCAUUGGAAAGACUGAAGAGGAAGCUGAAGAAUGAUAUGCUCCACCACAAUGAGGGACUAAACAACAAAAAGGAGGCACGGGAUUCAAGAAGGAAAAAAGAGCUGACAAGCCAUAGCAGGACGGCCAUCCCCUGAGAGAUAGGAGAGGAGGAGAAACAGCCCGACAGGGGCCUGGAGCAGCUGGCUGGCGUCAGUAAUUUCCUGCAGGAGACUCUGCCGGCCGAGCACACGUCACCCUUCUGUUGAUCCUCUGUAUUCUCCCUUGUGCUACUAAAAUACGCUAAUGUAACUCCUGGGCUGUGCUGAGCUAAAUGCAGUUAUUUAACUUCAUCGCUAUGGAACCCAGGUCUAAAGCAGCAACAUCUAUUUGGAACAAGGUGGGGAGGAGGUAAGCCCCAAACAUCCCUGAGCAGCAGGAAUACACAUUACAAAGUUUCUCUUUCCACACGGAAGAGUCUUCUGGGCCCUUGCUUGAGACCCCUGACUUUUACUUAACACAUAGGUCUAGUUUGCUUGGUGAACUGCUUUCUGACACCUGAACAGACUGGAAGCAGGGAACUGAAGGUGAGAAAAGACUGCCACAAACAGGAGCCAAGAGCUAAGAGCCAAGCCAGGGAGGUGACAUUCAUGGUGACAACUGUGGAUGGGAAUCCUGCCCUAAGUGGGAUAUUGGAUGAAUGAAUGGCUCCUAAGGCCCCUUCCAACAUUUCAGUUCAUGGCUCUGAGUAUCCUUGGUUUGACUGUGAUGGUGAAGGCAGAGAAGAGGGAGAGGGAGACCUCCGCGGAGAGCUGGUGGCCAGCAGGAAGUGUGGCCCUGUGUUUUAGUACUCAGGAGUACUUGCCUGCUUUUACUGGAGUCCUCCAGGCUCAAUAUGUGCUCUUGACCCCCGACUUCAUUUUUUUUUUUGGCCAACAAGGGCGAAUUUAUGCUCUUCUUCAUGGAGGUGGAUGUUUCUGGAAGAAGUUUUGUGAUGUCCUUUGCAGGGACAUAGAUGGAUUUGGAAGCCCUUAUCCUCAGCAAACUAAUGCAGGAACAGAAAACCAAACACUGCAUGUUCUUACUUAUACGUGGGAGCUGAACGAUGAGAGCACUUGGACACAUACAGGAAAAUGACACACACUGGGGCGUGUCGGGGCCGAGGGGUGGUGGGGAGAGGGAGAGAAGCAGGAAGAAUGGCUAAGGAUGCUGUGCUUAAUAUCUAGGUGAUAGGAUGAUCUGUGCAGCAAACCACCGUGGCACACAUUUACCUAUGUAACAAACCUGGAUAUCCUGCAAGUGUAUCCCGAACUUAAAAGUUGAAAAAAAAAAA